GAUGAACGCUGGCGGCGUGCCUAAUACAUGCAAGUCGAGCGAACGGACGAGAAGCUUGCUUCUCUGAUGUUAGCGGCGGACGGGUGAGUAACACGUGGAUAACCUACCUAUAAGACUGGGAUAACUUCGGGAAACCGUAGCUAAUACCGGAUAAUAUUUUGAACCGCAUGGUUCAAAAGUGAAAGACGGUCUUGCUGUCACUUAUAGAUGGAUCCGCGCUGCAUUAGCUAGUUGGUAAGGUAACGGCUUACCAAGGCAACGAUGCAUAGCCGACCUGAGAGGGUGAUCGGCGACACUGGAACGGAGACACGGACCAGACUCCUACGGGAGGCAGCAGUAGGGAAUCUUCCGCAAUGGGCGAAAGCAUGACGGAGCAACGCCGCGUGAGUGAUGAAGGUCUUCGGAUCGUAAAACUCUGUUAUUAGGGAAGAACAUAUGUGUAAGUAACUGUGCACAUCUUGACGGUACCUAAUCAGAAAGCAACGGCUAACUACGUG
rnacentral:rRNA from 1 species